rnacentral:lncRNA from 1 species
GCACUAUUGCAGCAAAUCAUUCUGUUUUCCUUUGUAGAAUUAGCCACAAAACUUCUGAGAAUUUAGCCUUGAUCAAAACCAUAUGUGGUGGAGAGGGCAAAAAAUCACAUGUUUCUUCUUGGCAAAAUGUGUGAGCUUCAAGCAAUUGCCAUAUACUAGUUGCAGCGACAAAGCCCUGGAAGGUGAACUACUGAGUCAGUGAGACAGGAAGUGGCAAGCAGCUUUGGUCUAGAAGCCUCAAAAGCACCAAUGACUUCUUGUUUAAUUUGGAGACUUUUCAAAAAAUCCUCUUCGAUGCAAGCCUUUCCAUCUUGCAGAUCUCCCUUAAGGUACUCUGUACUCUUUGCCAUAGCUACAGGAGAUCUGAAGAUAUACACUCUCAGGAAGAAAUGGAAGGCUAAGGAAGACUGAGCACUUGGGCAGCAAACAGAAUUGUGACAUUUUUUUCCCUAUGGGUAAUCCAAACAACUUCACAAAAUGCUGACCCAGUUCUCACAUAUUUAAUCGUGUGUCUUAUUUAGGUUGUGAUUCGUUGUUUUUUGUUUUUGUUUUUGUUUUUUGC